GUUUAACGGCCGCGGUAUUUUGACCGUGCAAAGGUAGCGCAAUCACUUGUCUUUUAAAUAAAGACCUGUAUGAAUGGCAUAACGAGGGCUAAACUGUCUCCUUACUCCAGUUAAUGAAAUUGAUCUCCUCGUGCAGAAGCGGGGAUUAACCCAUAAGACGAGAAGACCCUGUGGAGCUUUAGAUGAUAGAUGAAUUUAUUAAAAAAUUAAUACCACAUAAAAGGUAAUUAAAACGACGACCUCAUCUUAAAUCUUUAGUUGGGGCGACCGCGGAGUAAAACAAAACCUCCGUGAGGAUUGAGAUGAAAACCUUAUACCCAAGAAUGUCAUUUCUAAGUACCAAAAUAUUUGACCAAUUGAUCCGGCAACAGCCGAUUAACGAACCUAGUUACCCCAGGGAUAACAGCGCAAUCCUCUUUGAGAGUCCCUAUCGACAAGAGGGUUUACGACCUCGAUGUUGGAUCAGGACAUCCUAAUGGUGUAG
rnacentral:rRNA from 1 species